rnacentral:rRNA from 1 species
AUUGAACGCUGGCGGCAUGCCUUACACAUGCAAGUCGAACGGCAGCACGGGUGCUUGCACCUGGUGGCGAGUGGCGAACGGGUGAGUAAUACAUCGGAACAUGUCCUGUAGUGGGGGAUAGCCCGGCGAAAGCCGGAUUAAUACCGCAUACGAUCCACGGAUGAAAGCGGGGGACCUUCGGGCCUCGCGCUAUAGGGUUGGCCGAUGGCUGAUUAGCUAGUUGGUGGGGUAAAGGCCUACCAAGGCGACGAUCAGUAGCUGGUCUGAGAGGACGACCAGCCACACUGGGACUGAGACACGGCCCAGACUCCUACGGGAGGCAGAAGUGGGGAAUUUUGGACAAUGGGCGAAAGCCUGAUCCAGCAAUGCCGCGUGUGUGAAGAAGGCCUUCGGGUUGUAAAGCACUUUUGUCCGGAAAGAAAUCCUUGACUCUAAUACAGUCGGGGGAUGACGGUACCGGAAGAAUAAGCACCGGCUAACUACGUG